CCUACGGGUGGCUGCAGUGGGGAAUAUUGGACAAUGGUGGGAACCCUGAUCCAGCCAUGCCGCGUGUGUGAAGAAGGCCCUCGGGUUGUAAAGCACUUUCAGUGAGGAAGAACGCCUGGUGGUUAAUACCCAUCAGGAAAGACAUCACUCACAGAAGAAGCACCGGCUAACUCCGUGCCAGCAGCCGCGGUAAUACGGAGGGUGCGAGCGUUAAUCGGAAUUACUGGGCGUAAAGCGCGCGUAGGUGGCUUGAUAAGCCGGUUGUGAAAGCCCCGGGCUCAACCUGGGAACGGCAUCCGGAACUGUCAAGCUAGAGUGCAGGAGAGGAAGGUAGAAUUCCCGGUGUAGCGGUGAAAUGCGUAGAGAUCGGGAGGAAUACCAGUGGCGAAGGCGGCCUUCUGGACUGACACUGACACUGAGGUGCGAAAGCGUGGGUAGCAAACAGGAUUAGAUACCCUGGUAGUC
rnacentral:rRNA from 1 species